rnacentral:rRNA from 1 species
GGGGUAAGGGAAGGUUGCCGGCCCAUAAGAGGGCGUACAGUGCACGCCUCUCGGGGGGGACACACAACAACACACCUGUGCACCUAGCGGGAUGCCUCCCAUUGAGAGCAGUCUGGCCAUACCAAACCCCCUUGUUUGGGGGGGCCGGGCCGGGGCGUCCCCUCGUUUCGUUACAUCCUGUCGAACGCAUGUCUUAUGGCUCUACGGAGCGAGAAGUUUUAAUACAACUUUCAACAACGGAUCUCUUGGCUUUCGCAUCGAUGAAGAACGCCGCGAAAGUGCGAAACGUAAUGUGAAUUGCAGAAUUCAGUGAAUCAUCGAAUCUUUGAACGCAUCUUGCGCUCCUUGGCAUUCCGAGGAGCAUGCCUGUUUGAGUGUCGUGAAAACCUUCGAACCCUCCCCUUCCCCUCGGGAAAGGCCGAGGGUGCGGAUUUGGACGUCUGUGGCCUGAGAGGGCCGCUCGUCUCUAAAUGUAUCAGCUGGUCCCCAUCGAGUCGGUCCAACGACGGUGUGAUAAUAAACGCUUCGUUUGACUGUGGCGCCGUACGGGCCCGACUCCGUCCCCUUGGCCAGGGAUGUGCGUGGGUGGCCGCUCACAGCCGUCYGCUUCUGUCGGACAAAUUACGACGAUNNNCUGACCUCAAAUCAGGCAGGAUUACCCGCCGAACUUAAGCAUAUCA